UGGGGAAUAUUGCGCAAUGGGGGAAACCCUGACGCAGCGACGCCGCGUGUGGGAUGAAGGUCUUCGGAUUGUAAACCACUGUCGCGAGGGACGAAGCUCUGACGGUACCUCGAAAGGAAGCACCGGCUAACUCUGUGCCAGCAGCCGCGGUAAUACAGAGACUACGAGCGUUACUCGGAUUUACUGGGCGUAAAGGGUGCGUAGGCGGUCAGAUGUGUUAGGUGUGAAAGCCUGGGGCUUAACUCCAGAAUUGCGCCUAAAACUAUCUGACUCGAGCCUCGGAGAGGCAAGCGGAAUUCCUAGUGUAGCAGUGAAAUGCGUAGAUAUUAGGAGGAACACCGAAGGCGAAGGCAGCUUGCUGGACGAGAUCUGACGCUGAAGCACGAAAGCGUGGGGAGCAAAAGGGAUUAGAUACCCUUGUAGUCCCUGAGCGGGCUGGCAAGGCGCAU
rnacentral:rRNA from 1 species